AGAAUCAACGCUGGCGGCGUGCCUAACACAUGCAAGUCGAACGCGACUGGGGCUUCGGCUCCAGUUGAGUGGCGAACGGGUGAGUAACACGUGGGUGACCUACCUUCGGAUGGGGGAUAACGUCCCGAAAGGGACGCUAAUACCGCAUAACAUCCUGCCUUUGAACAGGUGGAGAUCAAAGCCGGGGAUCGCAAGACCUGGCGUUUGAAGAGGGGCCCGCGUCCGAUUAGCUAGUUGGUGAGGUAAUGGCUCACCAAGGCGACGAUCGGUAGCC
rnacentral:rRNA from 1 species